rnacentral:rRNA from 1 species
ACGUAGGGGGCGAGCGUUGUUCGGAAUUAUUGGGCGUAAAGAGCGUGUAGGCGGCCGAACAAGUCAGAUGUGAAAUCCCUGGGCUCAACCCAGGACGUGCAUUUGAAACUGUCCGGCUUGAGUAGGGGAGAGGAAAGUGGAAUUCCCGGUGUAGAGGUGAAAUUCGUAGAUAUCGGGAGGAACACCAGUGGCGAAGGCGGCUUACUGGCCCUUUUCUGACGCUGAGACGCGAAAGCGUGGGUAGCAAACAG